rnacentral:rRNA from 1 species
UUUUGUCGCGAUAGCAUGUUGAUUGUUGCCAGCUCCCAACGGAUCACUCAAAUUAAAAGUGUUGCACGAGGUUAGUACCCGGAUGGGUGACCAUCAGGCCAGUCUCGUGCCGCCUUUU